UGUAGUGCUGAUGAAAACUGGUGUCAACAGUAUAAAGUACAAUGGAUUACAAGGUUUCUGCAACUCAGAGCUAAAA